rnacentral:rRNA from 1 species
GUACACUCCUACGGGAGGCAGCAGUGGGGAAUAUUGGACAAUGGGCGAAAGCCUGAUCCAGCAAUGCCGCGUGAGUGAUGAAGGCCUUAGGGUUGUAAAGCUCUUUUACCCGGGAUGAUAAUGACAGUACCGGGAGAAUAAGCCCCGGCUAACUCCGUGCCAGCAGCCGCGGUAAUACGGAGGGGGCUAGCGUUGUUCGGAAUUACUGGGCGUAAAGCGCGCGUAGGCGGCUUUGUAAGUUAGAGGUGAAAGCCCGGAGCUCAACUUCGGAAUUGCCUUUAAGACUGCAUCGCUAGAAUCGUGGAGAGGUGAGUGGAAUUCCGAGUGUAGAGGUGAAAUUCGUAGAUAUUCGGAAGAACACCAGUGGCGAAGGCGACUCACUGGACACGUAUUGACGCUGAGGUGCGAAAGCGUGGGGAGCAAACAGGAUUAGAUACCCCUGUAGUCCC